AUCUACAGGGGCAGGUGAAAUUCCUUACCGGCGGUGAUAGUCCGCGAGCCAAUUUGGCCGAUUCGGUGUAAUUCCGAAACCGACAGUACAGUCUGGAUGAAAGUAGAU
rnacentral:ncRNA from 1 species